UAAAAAUUUAUGAUUUGAGAAUUUUAUUUUAAGUUUAAUUUACAUGUAAAUUUUAGUAUGAAUUUUAUUAUAUUUUAAAAAUAUAAUAAUUUAUUUACAGUAAUUAAAAUUAAAAAUUUAAGAAAUUAAGAUUUAGUAAUACAAUAAUAAAUAACAAAUUUUGUGCCAGCAGUUGCGGUUAUACAAAAAUUUAAAUAAAUUUUAUUAGUAAAAAUAAAUAAUUUAGUUUUAAAUUAAAUUUAAAAUUAUUAAGUGAAAUUUUAAUUUUUAAAAAAUUUAUUUAAUAAAUAUGAAUUUAAAAAUUUUAUUGAUAAACUAGGAUUAGAUACCCUAUUAUAAAAAAUUAAUUUUUAAUACUAAAAAAGUAAAUAAUUAUUUAUUGAAACUUAAAUAAUUUGGCGGUAUUUUAGUUCAUUUAGAGGAAUCUGUCUAUUAAUUGAUAAUCCACGAAUAAUUAUAUUUAAUUUAAAAUUUUAUAUAUCGUUGUUAAAAAAAUAUUUUUUUAAAAUAAUAAUAUUUUAAAAUUUUUAAUAAAAAUUAAUUCAGAUCAAGAUGUAGAUAAUAAUUAAAAUUUAAGAUGGAUUACAAUAUAAAUAUAUAAAUGGAAAAUAAUUUGAAAUAAUUAUUUGAAAGUGGAUUUAAAUGUAAUUUUGAAUAAUUUUUUAAAAUGAUUAAAAAUUGAAAUAUGUACAUAUUGCCCGUCACUUUCAUUUAAAAAUUGGAAUAAGUCGUAACAAAGUAGAGGUACUGGAAAGUGUUUCUAGAAAGAC
rnacentral:ncRNA from 1 species